CCAGCAUUCAGUUGGGCACUCUAAGGAGACUGCCGGUGUUAAACGGAGGAAGGUGGGAUGACGUCAAGUCCUACAUGGCCCUUAUGUCCAGGGCUACACACGUGCUACAAUGGUGGUACAAGAGCAGCAAUCUCGCGAGAGGGAGCAAAUCUCAUAAAGCCAUCCUCAGUUCGGAUUGGAGUCUGCAACUCGACUCCAUGAAGUUGGAAUCGCUAGUAAUCGCGGAUCAGCAUGCCGCGGUGAAUACGUUCCCGGGCCUU
rnacentral:rRNA from 1 species